rnacentral:rRNA from 1 species
CCCCUAGAUGUUCUGGGCCGCACGCGCGCUACACUGAACAGUUCAACAAGUCUUAACCUUGGCCGAUAGGUCUGGGUAAUCUUUGAACGCUGUUCGUGAUUGGGAUAGACCUUUGCAAUUAUUAAUCAUAAACGAGGAAUUCCUAGUAAUGGCGAAUCAUCAGUUCGUCGUGAUUACGUCCCUGCCCUUUGUACACACCGCCCGUCGCUCCUACCGAUAGAGCAGUCCGGUGAAUACUUCGGACCGACAGCUUGAUUGGUUCGCCAGUCUUGCCGUUGGAAAGUCGAGUGAACCUUAUUGCUUAGAGGAAGGAGAANUCGUANCA